rnacentral:lncRNA from 1 species
GGGCCCUAGAGGGGUUAGGGGAGGGGGCUGGUGGGUCCCCGUCCCCAGAUGCGCCCCAGGAUGGCGCAACCUCGGCUCCCGGGUGGAAAGUAGGGGGAGUGCUGGCUUGGGGGUCGCUUCCCCUCCUGCUCUAGUUUCUGAGGAUGUGAUGACCCCAAAGGUCAUUGGCGCUCCCAGAAUGCUGACGUCAGCUCAGCCGCUCGGAGUAAUCAGUAAUGCAGGGAGGCUACCCGCAGAGUGAACGCGACAGGGGUCGCUUUGGGGACACCAUAGGGCCUUUACUCGUGUUGAGAAUGAAGCCAGCCUGGAAGAUCCCCAGUCUCCAGACAGAGCCUGACAGGGGCAGAUGCUCUGGGAGGACCGUGUCUGGGUUCAGCACCAGGCAGCCAUCCUGGCCCCACAGGGUGCAUAAACCUGAUGCGGGUUUAAUGAGAACUGGUUUUAAAGGAAAAUGGGGCCAUCAGAAGGAAGCUGGCUGGAGUGAAGAGACGUCUAGGAAGAGCCCCUGGCGGGGGCCCUCAUUCCACUGGGUGACCCAGAAGGAGAAAACCGCCGUGGCGCUUCUCAUUCGAAAUGUUUUCUUUACGGACAGUGUUGAGCAAUUGUUAUAA